AGAUUGAACGCUGGCGGCAUGCUUUACACAUGCAAGUCGAACGGCAGCACGGGGGCAACCCUGGUGGCGAGUGGCGAACGGGUGAGUAAUGCAUCGGAACGUAUCCUUAAGUGGGGGAUAACGCAUCGAAAGAUGCGCUAAUACCGGCAUAAUCUCUGAGGAGAAAGCAGGGGAUCGCAAGACCUUGCGCUUUUGGAGCGGCCGAUGUCUGAUUAGCUAGUUGGUGAGGUAAAGGCUUACCAAGGCUUCGAUCAGUAGUCUGGUCUGAGAGGACGACCAGGCCACGACGUGGGACUGAAGACACGGCCCUAGACCUCCGUACGGGAGGCAGCAGGUGGGUAAUUUUGGA
rnacentral:rRNA from 1 species